GCCACAUGCUCUCAGGGCCAUGGUCUAUCUGAAGGCGUAACAAAAAAGAUGUUCGAAGUUACACAAAACAGGAAGAUCCAUACUGGCGGGCAGCACUCUGGUGCUGCGGAGUAGCACAGACCAGCUAACAGUGACCUCAUCACCUAUAGACAGAGGCAGCAUGCUGAGAACCAAUGGGGGGAAACCAGGAGUCAGAGACAGGCCUUUGUGUGGUCAGCUGGUCUGCUGAGACAGGCCUUUGUGUGUAAUUGCAGGACCUUGGUCCCUACCUGUUAGUGUAGCUCUAUCCCAAUUCCUCUAGGUCUCCCAGCUAAAACAGGGCUGGCAUGUGUAUGUAGAGACUGGAGAUCCUCAGAAGCAACCCCACUGAAACUGGAGAGGUGCGGGGAAUGGGAGAGAUGCAGUACAAUAUUAUCAUCAAAUUCACAAUCCCAUUUCCCUCAGCCUCCAACCUGAGUCUCUGGAGCAAAGAGACCCCAACAAUGUGGUUUCUGAUGGCUCAGAGGGGUCACUUAGAAAGGGUAGCUUAGUGUACUAAAAAUUUAUUAUUAAUUUUUUUUCAAUCUUUUAUCCGUUUUGGAAUGUUAUACAUUCACAUGGUUCAAAACUCAAAAUAUAAAGGGGAACACAUGGUAGAAAGUCUCUUUCCUACCCCAUCAGAAGUGAACUGGCAGAGUAGUCGAGAGUGUGAACCUGGAGCCUGGGUUCAAGUUCUGGCUCUGCCACUUAUUCACUGUGUGAUUAGCUCCUAAGCCUGUUUCCACAGCUGUAAGACAGGAUAGUAAUAGCUCUACUCUAAAGAGCUGCUAUGAGGAUUAUAUGACUUAACUUUUGUAAAGUGCUUUAGAACAGUGCUUGGAAUGUAAUCUCAAUACAUUUCAUUAUGCACAGAAAAAUGUCUGAAGGAUACACAUCAUUAAUCCUGUUUUCUGGGGGGAUGAGAUUAUGGGGAGAUUUCCAUUUUCUGCUCCAUAUAUAUCUGUAUUAUUUGAAAAUUUACAGAGAACAUUUAUUAUUUUUAUAAUCAGAAAUACAGUGAAGACAGACUUUUUUAGUCUUUUCCAUUUAGCCUUUUUUCCAUUUCAGAAAAAUAUGUCAACGACAACAAAAGACAGGAAGGGAGUAGGAAUAUCUGCAGAAGUGAAAAAAGAAUUCAUCAUCUGAAGGAGGACAUGUAAUCAAAGUAACAAAAAAUAUGGAAGAUCCUUUAUGUGAAGCCCUGCAAAAGAAAAACUUGUACCAUUUGUUCACUCGACAAAUAUUUAUUGAGUACCUACUAUGUACCAAGUACUGUGCUUGGCCUUUGCCCUCACAAGAAUAUAGAAUAUAGUUUAUAUUCUAGUGGAAGAGGCAGACUUUAAUCAAAUAGUUAAGCAAAUUUAAAAGUAAUUGCCAGUAAGGUAUGUGCUCCAAAGGGGAAAUGUGUGAUUGGUAACUUAACCCUGACUGAGGGAUCAAGGAAUGCUUCCUGGAAGAAGGGAUGUUUGAGCAGAGGAGUAAAGGAUGAGUAGAAGGUAAGCUGUCAAAGGGAAAGAGGAGAGAAGAUGUGUUCCAGGUAGAGGGAACAGCAUGGGCAAAGGUUCUGAGGUGAGACAGCAGAACUGAAAGAAAACCAGGUGUCUCAAAUGCAGCAGAGGCCUGAGAGAGUGGCCCAGGCAGGGAGAGGCCCGAGUCGGAGGGUCUCAUCUCCAAGAUUCCAGGGCCAAAGAAGGAGCUGGUGCUCAUAGGUGGCAGAGCUGAUGCUAAAAGUGUGGCGGGAGUAGACGCUGAUGGUCUCCAUGGCCCCCUCGUUGGUGCUCAAUCAAGAUGAGCUUGCAUUUGUCAAAGGCAUAAAAAUCAGACCCAAAUCACAACCUGUUCCAGGGCAGUUCUCAGGGCUACCAACAGAUGGUAAUGUUACUCUAGAGAACAGUGGUUCCUUACUCAAAAAAACCAAGCACACCCAACACUGUGACCUUUCCAAACCUUUCUAUACCUGUAAUGAGAGUUUUUAAGGAUUGGAAAUAAUCUCAAAAUGGGUUUUUGAAAUGGUCUGUGCUCUCAUUUACUGGUGGUGGGAGAUUAAAUUAGCAUAUCCCCUUAGGAGGACAAUUUGGUAAUAAUUAUCAAAACAUAAAAUGCACAUUCCCUUAGACCCAGGAAUUCCAAUUCUAGGCAUACUGACAUAUACAAAUACAUGUUUAAGAUGUACACACACACAAAAAAAAGAAAAAAAGGGCAGAAACAAAUAUCCAUCAAUAUGGGAAUGGUUAAAUAAGUACAGUAUUUCAUCUAUAUGAUGGAAGAUUAUGAGGCCUUUAAAAAAGUGAGGUAGAGUCAAAUGUGCUGCUUGUAAAAAGAUUUCCAGUGGAAAAAGAAUGGCUCAUAACUAUGUAAAGUAUGGUUCUUUUUGAGUUUAAAAUUCAUAUGUAAACUGGUAUCAGGCUUUUACUAAAUAUGGUGUUCUGUUUCCCUGGUCUCCCCAUUUAUGCUGAGAACGUUCCUUACUCUGGAAGCCAGAAGGAAUCCUGUCACCAAAGAACUCGUGAAGCAAGAUUUCAAAUGACUGGUUCCAGGUUUAGGCUGAAACAGGGAAGAGCCUGACUAUGAGCUGUCUCCUGGGACCCAGCACAGCAGCUCUCAACAGAUGUUCAUUGACUCAACAGAACUGUCUCCCCACCUCCCACUCAAACAAAUGUUCAGGGUACGUUCUGGGACUUUGGGAAAUAGCCCAGUGUUUUCCUGAGGAGUGCCAUUUACAUAAAAGUCAAUGGAGCUAUUGUUGGAGGCUUUCUGUUUUUCUGGAGACCACGGAGCUGAAACUGUCCUGGGGUUUGAAAGUAGCCAGAUUUCUCCCUCUCUCCCUCACACACACACACAUACACACACACACACAUACACACACACACAUACACACACACACAACGUUCUGGCAUGCACAAACUCUGAGUGGAUUCAAACCUCAGGGGUUAAAGAACACAGCGUCUAAUAUGCAAAGAUGCCUGCAGCCAGGAUUGCGGAGGUGAGAACUCCAGGCUGACAGCAGGCAAUUCACACUUCAGAAAAGUGGCAAAGUGCCUUAGGUGGUUAAAAAAAACUGAACAAAAAAACCCUCAAUGUCAUCAGAAGGUUCCAGAAGCUAACGAAAAAUACUCUUGGCUUUCUCUAUAGAUACGAGGUUCAGGACUUAGGUGCCAAAAAAUAAUUCACAGAUAAAUGGCUAUACUGAUGUGCUGUGUUCCAAUAUUUUCAUCAAAUUAAUCAGAGUGCUACUGCAAGCAUAGUUCAACCCUCAAAGCCCUCAUAAAUGUACCUUUACAGACAGAAAGAGCUCUCCAAAUCCUACCCCCCGACUUGUUCCUCCUAGUGUAAAAUCCCUCUAGCAGAAACAGUAUUUCAUCCCACCAUGUUAUCAAUUAAGCAUCUACCCUGUGCAAGGUUCUUCACGUGUAUCUUUUCUAAUGCUCAAGACAACUCUUCACAAUAAGCAUUAUUAGCUCCAGUUUACGAUGUGGAAACUGAGAUUCAGAAAGUUUAAAAUACUUGCCCAAAGGCAUAGCUGGUCUGUGAAUGCUGAGAUUUGAAUUCAAGUAAGUCUAACUCCAAAAUCUGUAUUUUUUCCCCUUUAUACUGCUUUGCUUACUGUGAAAGAGCAGGACUUAGGGCACAAGCGGCCCUGAGAGAGGACACGAAAAUGAUUUAUAAAAUCAUUUCCAGUUCCAGAAUUCCCACCCUUUGAUCUGUAUUCAUAUGGAGGAUUUUAAAGUUGUCUAACUGGACUCCUUUCCACAGAAGAGGUUUUAGUUGGAGGGUGGUAUAGAUGAAGGUCUUGGUACCCAAAGACAACCCUGGAGGGGUAAAGUGUAGUCUGAGGCCCCUAAACUUUGUGUCUCUGAAAGGAGUGGACAGAAAUGAGGCUCCCAUCUUUGAAUAAAGCUCUCUCUUAUAACAAUAGCAAAAAGAUAAAACUAAAAAGAAAGAAAGAAAAAAGCUCCCAACUACCAUAAAUUGAAUAAAUUGACAAAGAAAAUGUUCCCUCAACUGCACCUUUCCCUGGACAUCUGCCACUCUCUUUUCUCAGAGACCAAGCUGCUGAGUCAUCUUGCUAUCUUUGCUAUUUGACUGAGGGAGGAAACAGGAGAUUUCACCUGUAAUGACAUGAAUAUUGGCUUCUAGGAUGAAGCCAAGUCAGACAAGGUUGGGACAAAAAUCAUUUCUAGUGAAGGAGAUCUGUUAAAUGGCCUAUUAGUGCCAUCUGCUGUACAAUUCUGGAAAGCCAACAUGGGGAAUUCUAAUACUAGAGCCUGAAAGGAUUCAUUCGCUCAUCUAAUGUCUGUUGAGUGUGUCCCA